UUUUAAGUGGCCGAUUUAGGUAUUAAUUUCUUAAAUUAAGUAUGAUAAGAGGUUUAUAGUUUAUA
rnacentral:tRNA from 2 species